rnacentral:rRNA from 1 species
GUUUGAUCCUGGCUCAGGAUGAACGCUGGCGGCGUGCCUAAUACAUGCAAGUCGAGCGAACCACUUCGGUGGUGAGCGGCGAACGGGUGAGUAACACGUAGGUUAUCUGCCCAUCAGACGGGGACAACGAUUGGAAACGAUCGCUAAUACCGGAUAGGACGAAAGUUUAAAGGUGCUUCUGGCACCGCUGAUGGAUGAGCCUGCGGCGCAUUAGCUAGUUGGUAGGGUAAAGGCCUACCAAGGCGACGAUGCGUAGCCGACCUGAGAGGGUGAACGGCCACACUGGGACUGAGACACGGCCCAGACUCCUACGGGAGGCAGCAGUAGGGAAUCUUCGGCAAUGGGCGAAAGCCUGACCGAGCAACGCCGCGUGAAUGAUGAAGGCCUUCGGGUUGUAAAAUUCUGUUAUAAGGGAAGAACGACUUUAGUAGGAAAUGGCUAGAGUGUGACGGUACCUUAUGAGAAAGCCACGGCUAACUACGUGCCAGCAGCCGCGGUAAUACGUAGGUGGCGAGCGUUAUCCGGAAUUAUUGGGCGUAAAGAGCGCGCAGGUGGUUGAUUAAGUCUGAUGUGAAAGCCCACGGCUUAACCGUGGAGGGUCAUUGGAAACUGGUCAACUUGAGUGCAGAAGAGGGAAGUGGAAUUCCAUGUGUAGCGGUGAAAUGCGUAGAGAUAUGGAGGAACACCAGUGGCGAAGGCGGCUUCCUGGUCUGUAACUGACACUGAGGCGCGAAAGCGUGGGGAGCAAACAGGAUUAGAUACCCUGGUAGUCCACGCCGUAAACG